AUGACUCGCCUCCUCUCAGUGACCACAGGUUGGUUGAGGGGUUUAACAAGGCUAAGAAGGUGAGACGUGGUCUUGUAACACAGUGGUUAAGAAUGUGACUUUGGAGCCAGCCUGCUAGGGGCUGAAUUCUGACUCAGCCAUUUACUAACUGUGUGACCUUAGGGAGGAGGACCUGGUUGAUAGAAGAAUUUAUCUCGUAGUCUUAACAUCCACUGUAAUUCCAAACUUUGAGGACGAUAGAGAUCAGUGGGCUUUGACUGCCCAGCAUGCAGUCUCCAUUCUUAGGUCACAGAAUUUUCCACACUCCUUGACAGAGGUGCUUAACCCUUAUCCAUCAGCAUUCUCAGACAGCACCUCCGGUUAGGGACAGUAUCUGACCGUCCGACAUCCCUGCAGCCCCCAUGUGUCACACAGACUCAGCCUCAGGUAGAUGGUUUCCGUAGAUGGUGGCUUUCUUUGGACCCUUGACAUCAACCAGUUACUAUUUGCUCAGCAAGGCCCACAUUUUCCCGGUGAAGCCACAGAACCACAGGGAGAAACCCAUGGACUUCGCCUCUCUCUCUAGGGGACCAGAUGUGCAGAGGUAAUGAAUACCAGGGAAUCAGGAAACCACUGGAUCAGUUCUUUGAGCCACAGAACAACACUCAUCCCAGCAGCUGGGAAGCUAUCUGCAAAAGUCCAUCUGCAGAAAGGGCUUCCUGGUCUUGCGUGUGGCUGGGCCAUUUCUCUGGAUGCAGGUUUUUCAUUAUACAGUCUUCUCAAAGAACCACCUGCUCUCAACACC
rnacentral:lncRNA from 10 species